GCAAAAUGGAACAGAUUUCCACGGCCCCCAAAGCAUGGCGGUCCCGCGUGCUGUGCCCACUGUGUCUGAGGGGCCUGGCCCAGGGGGUGGAACAAACCCAGCAUUUCUGGCACAAACCUUUCUUUAACCUGGGAGAUGCAAAUGCAGUCAGUUCUAGACCUGGAGUCUGGGUGCCAGUGAAGCUGUUCUGGGAUCGUUACCCUCCUGUGAGGACACAGUCGCCAGGCACCGUGCAUUGAUCCAAUCUGAGAUUCUUCGUGGUGCUUCCUGGAAGGUCCCUCAAACUGGUUCUUAUUCAUGGUCCAAAGAAAAGAGGGUCCAAGAGGGUCUUAUUCAUGGUCCAAAGACAUGAUCGGCCGAGGACCCCAUACUGGGGCAUCUCCCAGGCCAGCGCGCAGAUCAGCAGGAUGGAGAGGACAACCAGGGCGAGGAUGGGGAAGACCACGUGGUUCUGGCUCUUGUCCUCGGAAUCAGUCUGGAGACUGCGCAGCGUUAUGCACGGGCCUGCGGGGUGGGGCCAGGCCCUGCCUCCUUUGUUCAAUUGUGCAGGAGCCCCCACCACCUUGGGGGCACCCUCAAGGGGGACAUCGCUUGUGGUUGGGAAGCCCAUGGGUGGGAGAGUGGCAGGGGGAUGGGUGCAUGGGAUGGGCAGGGCUCCAGGCACAGAGGGUGAGGGUGUCUGUGGAGGGAAGACCCAAGGGGGCUUUCUGGGGGCUCCCCUCCUGUAGCCCAGGAUGAAGAUAGGAACACCUACCUGUGGGAGGUGUGAGAGGCAGGUAAUGCGGGUCUGCUAAAGAGACACAGGGCAGGUUGGUGGGGGCCUGCCCAGGGCCUGCCCUGAAGCAGCCCCUCCACCCCAGGUGUCAGAUGAGCCCUGGAUACAGGAGUUCAUAAAGGCCUCACUGUGUCCCCCGCCCAGGGCCCGGCUAGGCUGAGGGGUGCCUCUCAGCCCCUCCCACUGUUCCUGGUCCGGGGCAAAGCUGGACCCCUGCUUCCUGUCCCCAGCGCUCAGGGUGACUCUGACUGCGUAUGAACAA
rnacentral:lncRNA from 1 species